UACAGAGACUGCAAGCGUUAUUCGGAUUCACUGGGCGUAAAGGGUGCGCAGGCGGUUGGGUGUGUCAGAUGUGAAAUCCCGAGGCUUAACCUCGGAACUGCGUCUGAAACUACUCGACUAGAGUACUGGAGAGGGAAACGGAAUUCACGGUGUAGCAGUGAAAUGCGUAGAUAUCGUGAGGAAGCACCAGAGGCGAAGGCGGUUUCCUGGACAGUUACUGACGCUCAGGCACGAAAGCAUGGG
rnacentral:rRNA from 1 species